rnacentral:rRNA from 1 species
AGAGUUUGAUCCUGGCUCAGGAUAAACGCUGGCGGCAUGCCUAACACAUGCAAGUCGAACGGGGUUUAUAUGAUGGAACUCUUCGGAGGGAAGACAUAUAAACCUAGUGGCGGACGGGUGAGUAACGCGUGGGGAACCUGCCCUGUACCGGGGGACAACAGCCAGAAAUGGCUGCUAAUACCGCAUAAUCCUGCGCUGCCGCAUGGCAGCGCAGGGAAAACUCCGGUGGUACAGGAUGGUCCCGCGUCUGAUUAGCUUGUUGGCGGGGUAACGGCCCACCAAGGCGACAAUCAGUAGCCGGCUUGAGAGAGCGGACGGCCACAUUGGGACUGAGACACGGCCCAGACUCCUGCGGGAGGCAGCAGUGGGGAAUAUUGCACAAUGGGGGGAACCCUGAUGCAGCAAUGCCGCGUGGGUGAAGAAGUACUUCGGUAUGUAAAGCCCUGUCAGCAGGGAAGAAAAUGACGGUACCUGACUAAGAAGCCCCGGCUAACUACGUGCCAGCAGCCGCGGUAAUACGUAGGGGGCGAGCGUUAUCCGGAUUUACUGGGUGUAAAGGGAGCGCAAGCGGCGUGGCAAGUCAGAUGUGAAAACCCGGGGCCCAACCCCGGGAC